UGCAGUCUGCCCCAGUGACUGGGGGCUAGAUGGUGACUGGCAGUAGCCAAAGACUGAGGCGAGGUAGGGGGUUCCCUGGGGAGGGGAGACCCAGCAAGACUGUGGGGUACUGCAGGAGGCAAAGCCCCAAGAGAAGGGGCACCAGGGUCCGGGAGGGACACCGGGGCCAGUGGCAAGGCAAGACACUGGCCUGCAGAGGGCUCUCCGGAGGCUGGCGAGCUAAUUCCCUGGACGACCAGCAGGAGGCGCCGCCGGUCUCUUCCUAUGUCCAGCAGAGGGCUCCCAACUUCUACAUCUUGAAGCAAGGAUGAAAGAUUGCUAUACAGUACUGAGGCCAGCCCUGGAAGAAUGGAAGCUGGGGUUUCACGGGACAUGUGACCAUGUCACCUGAUACUGGAAUCCAUCUUAAACCUGGUGCUUUUCCAUUUAGAAGGAGAGCUGGGGACCUAGAGAGACAAAAGAUUCCUGCCUUGUGCCAAAGAUAUAAAAGGGGGUGGAACAGAACAAAGGAGGCUGCCAGUGAUGGAAAACACCCCUGCUUUCCACCUAAGAUGCCUGCUGGAACUAACAAGGACUGUACCAGGGGAAAGGAUUGGGCCCAGACUAGGAAGGAGUCUAGUCUGUGAAAGAAGCUUAUUGGAACAUCUCUGAGGGUGAAAUUUACCUGUAAUCAGUUUCUUAAUGUAUUAGGUUUAGAUUUGCAUGUUUUGUUUUAUUGUGCUUGGUAACUUACUUUGUUCUGUCUGUUAUUACUUGGAACCACUUAAA